CCAGAAAUGGGGGAGACCAUCUCUGCAAAGGGUCGCAGUGGAAGGGAUUCCUGUUCAGGACCCUGGGAGAUCUUGUAAAGCAGCUCUCAUCUUCCCCCCUUCUUGGACACCACAGUAAUGACAGCAGCAGCAGCAGUAAGAGUGGGCUCUCAGGAUGGAGUCACCCCCAGAGAGAAAACACUGUAAAGAAAAGAAGCCAUUUGAAUUUGACCCAUUGGGGGUGAACUACAAAAUGCUGAAUUAGAAAUCCUGUUUCAAAUGUCCCAACAAGUCCCCAGCUGAUAAAUGGUCACAGGAUAUGAACAGGCAGUUUUCAAAGGAAGAAAUUAAAGCUAU